UGUCCUGUUUUUCUUCCCAACUUUGACCCUCCACAAAUCCCAAAUUUUAUUUUGGUAUAUGUGGAAGCAACUGCUUUCGAAGACUUAUAUUGUUGUUCAAUACUCGAAAUGAGGAGCACGACAGACAGAAAGA